rnacentral:rRNA from 1 species
GCUAGCUACAGGCUUAACACAUGCAAGUCGAGGGGAAACGACAUCGAAAGCUUGCUUUUGAUGGGCGUCGACCGGCGCACGGGUGAGUAACGCGUAUCCAACCUGCCCACCACUUGGGGAUAACCUUGCGAAAGUAAGACUAAUACCCAAUGAUAUCUCUAGAAGACAUCUGAAAGAGAUUAAAGAUUUAUCGGUGAUGGAUGGGGAUGCGUCUGAUUAGCUUGUUGGCGGGGUAACGGCCCACCAAGGCGACGAUCAGUAGGGGUUCUGAGAGGAAGGUCCCCCACAUUGGAACUGAGACACGGUCCAAACUCCUACGGGAGGCAGCAGUGAGGAAUAUUGGUCAAUGGGCGAGAGCCUGAACCAGCCAAGUAGCGUGCAGGAUGACGGCCCUAUGGGUUGUAAACUGCUUUUAUAAGGGAAUAAAGUGAGUCUCGUGAGACUUUUUGCAUGUACCUUAUGAAUAAGGACCGGCUAAUUCCGUGCCAGCAGCCGCGGUAAUACGGAAGGUCCGGGCGUUAUCCGGAUUUAUUGGGUUUAAAGGGAGCGUAGGCCGGAGAUUAAGCGUGUUGUGAAAUGUAGAUGCUCAACAUCUGAACUGCAGCGCGAACUGGUUUCCUUGAGUACGCACAAAGUGGGCGGAAUUCGUGGUGUAGCGGUGAAAUGCUUAGAUAUCACGAAGAACUCCGAUUGCGAAGGCAGCUCACUGGAGCGCAACUGACGCUGAAGCUCGAAAGUGCGGGUAUCGAACAGGAUUAGAUACCCUGGUAGUCCGCACGGUAAACGAUGGAUGCCCGCUGUUGGUCUGAAUAGGUCAGCGGCCAAGCGAAAGCAUUAAGCAUCCCACCUGGGGAGUACGCCGGCAACGGUGAAACUCAA